rnacentral:rRNA from 1 species
ACGGGUGAGUAACACGUAUCCAACCUGCCGUCUACUCUUGACAGCCUUCUGAAGGAAGAUUAUACAAGAUGGCAUCAUGAGUCCGCAUGUUCACAUGAUUAAAGGUAUUCCGGUAGACGAUGGGGAUGCGUUCCAUUAGAUAGUAGGCGGGGUAACGGCCCACCUAGUCAACGAUGGAUAGGGGUUCUGAGAGGAAGGUCCCCCACAUUGGAACUGAGACACGGUCCAA